AUGCAGGGUAUGGCCUUGUCCAUCCAGCAUUCCGAUCUUCCGGUGGUCGUGCAAACAGACUCCUCUGAAGCCAUGUCCAGCUUGACAAAUGGUGCGUUGGUUCACUUAUUAUUCGGUCAUAUAGUUCGGGAGAUCAAGGAUCUACUUGGUAAUAGGGAGUUUUUUCCACAAAAAAUUAGUAGGCUCCAAAAUAGAGUUGCCGAUCGCCUGGCGAAAUAUAGCCGGUCUGAAAGAGCUACGGCUGUGUGGCUUGGUUUGGCUCCAUCAUGUAUCAAGGACAUUUGGCCUCUCGACUGUAACUCUAUUCAUUUGCAAUAA
rnacentral:rRNA from 1 species